UCCGUGCUUGCAUGGUGCGGCGCGGCGGGGCUGACUGCAGUCAGGUCGCUGCGGGAGCGGAGGCAAAGUGGCGGCGGCUCCUCCUGCUGAGUGGUAAAUGAAUCAUGUGUUGUAACAGCCUGCUCAUUUCUAAAGAACACUGAUCCUGUCUCCUGCAGAGUCUGCUUCAUUAUGAACACCCUCCUGCAAGAUGCUGAGGACUUUGGCCCUCAUUCAUGCAAGUCUUCAGAUACUGAGCUCUGGACGAAGAUCAGUGCAUAACAGUUUUCAGGAUAUAACUUUGCUCCAAGAAGCAUUGUUCAUCAUUUACUCCUGUCAGAGGAUGGGUCCUAAAUAAAGGAAAUAAUCUUGUCUUUCUGUUUUGUUUGUCGAGCAGAAGAGAGACUAUUAACCUAGACAGGAGGACUUCAAAAUCAGCUCAACUUAAAAUAUUCCAUCCAAUUGCUCUAAUGAUGUUAAGGUUAUGAUAAGCUGUAUAUUUCUGUAUAAAAGUUAAAUUAAUAGCAAAAAUAAAUUAAUACCAAAAAAUAAUCUAACAUA